CGCUGCGGCCGCAGUGGUCUCCGACAGCCCUCGUCUCCGCUCUGUCUACGUUGAGACGGAGCAACUUCUCCGGAACACAACAGUCCUCCAGUCUCGCAGCGUAGCAACCCUCCACUCUCCUCGCUCCUUGUGGGUAUGACGCCGAACGGAGACGGGAGCCUGCAAACGAGCGCAUGAACACCGAAACCCGGUCGCCACAGAGUGAGACAGGCGGCUUUGACAAAGGCCUCUGGAUGCGGUGUGCUGCAACUCAGUUGAAAGACGGUGUCGGUAAUGCGGAACAUCAGACUCAUUUGCUGAAGCGACCCUGAACUAAUACGUGCGAUGGAAACGCAAACCACAUGGACCACAGGAACAUUUUGCUACGAGGAACUCAAAGUUCCUGAGCUGGUUGGUGGUAAAGCACUUCAUAUAGGGGGCAAGCUAAUUGUUAGGAUGAAGGAGGAGAGUUUGUACCACCGUAGGUUUUCUUUGUGUCCAAAUGCCACUUCCCCACCCAAAAUUGACCCCCGCACCCUCACCAGAAACCUGUCUUACGGAGGAGACAAUGACCUCUACAACCUCAGCUCAGGCAGUGAGACAGACAGGCACGAUAUCUCCAUGAUGACUAAUGAACUUAGUCCUGCCCAAUCACCAGGCAGCAAGUCUGAGUCUAGGAUGUUUAAUGGUCUGGAGAAGGACUGUCCCUCCCCGACAGAAAAACUUGCUCGAAAGGCGUCUCUUAAGGUCCAAAAGCAGAAUUACCGGCAAGAAAAGAAGCGGGCUGCCAAAGAACUGUUUAGCGCGCUAAAGGACCCUAGUGUUGUCAUCAUGUCCAACUGGCUAAAGAUCCGUGGCUCUUUAAAGAGUUGGACCAAGCUGUGGUGUGCCUUGAAGCCUGGUGUUCUAUUGAUCUAUAAGACCCCUAAAACUGACCACUGGGUUGGUACCGUCCUGCUGAGUGCCUGCAAGCUCAUUGAGAGGCCCUCUAAGAAGGAUGGCUUCUGCUUCAAGCUUUACCAUCCACUGGACAAGUCCAUUUGGGCUGUCAAGGGUCCCAAAGGAGAGACUGUUGGCUCCAUCACACAGCCUUUACCAAGUAACUACCUGAUCUUCAGAGCGUCCUCAGAGUCUGAUGGCCGAUGCUGGAUGGAUGCGCUCGAGCUUGCUCUGAGUUGCUCCAGCCUCUACAAGCUAACAGCCAAGUCAGGAAAAGACGGGGACAUCAACGCAACUUCUGAGUCUUCCCACUUCCUCCAUCUUCUGCAGUCUUCCACACUAGCAGACACGGAGCUUUUGCAGUUGAAUGAGUCAGUGUUGAUGGGCAAUCACCACAUGGACCAGGACAGAUUUUCCGACAAAUCGGAGCGCGAUGGUCAUGAUGACUGGGACACCUCUGCAAUUGAUAAUGGAGGAAGGUUGACAGAGGAGAGUGAUGUGGACCAAUCAGAUGAGGCGAUGUCUCCCAUGCCACAAGCGACAGUUUAUGUCGAUCAGGGCACAGAAGAGAUGGCUGAGGCUGGCGAGGCGUCCCAAGUUGAGACUGUGUCAGAGGAAAACAAGGGUCUAAUCUGGGGUAUUUUGAAGCAGCUACGACCGGGCAUGGACCUGUCAAAGGUGGUGCUGCCCACAUUCAUUCUGGAGCCUCGCUCCUUCCUGGACAAGCUAUCCGACUACUACUAUCACGCUGAUCUGCUCUCACAAGCUGCGCAGGAGGACAGCGCAUAUGACCGGAUGAAGCAGGUAGUCAGAUGGUACUUGUCUGGCUUUUACAAGAAGCCCAAGGGUCUAAAGAAGCCUUACAACCCAAUAUUGGGGGAAACCUUUCGCUGCUGCUGGCUUCAUCCCGGAAGUGAAAGCUGCACUUUCUACGUAGCUGAACAGAUUUCGCACCAUCCACCCGUUUCUGCCUUUUAUGUCUGCAAUAGGAAGGACGGUUUUUCCAUCAGUGGAAGCAUCCUGGCAAAGUCCAAAUUCUACGGCAACUCUCUGUCUGCUAUUCUGGAGGGCAAAGCGAGGCUGCUCUUUCUGAGCAGGGAGGAGGAGUAUGUCAUCACCAUGCCCUACGCUCAUUGCAAAGGUAUUCUCUAUGGCACUAUGACACUCGAGCUGGGUGGAAAGAUUACCAUUGAAUGUGAAAAAACUAAAUGCUUCACUGAGCUGGAGUUCAAGCUAAAGCCUUUCUUGGGAGGCCCCUGCUCUGUGAAUCAGAUCAGCGGCAAAAUCUUUGUGGGAGAUGAGCUCGCUGCCACUGUUUAUGGACAUUGGGACAGUGAGGUUUUUAUUCAUGAGAAGCGCUGUGGACAGCAGGCAACACUGUGGAACCCAAGCCCCGAUGUCCGGAGCAGUCGUCUCAAGAGACGAGUGGUCCACUUUGACCAGCAGGGGGAGUUUGAGUCUGAAAGGCUGUGGCAGCAUGUGACCAGAGCAAUCAGAGAGCGUGACCAGGUGCAGGCCACGCAGGAGAAGUUUGUGCUGGAAGAAGCUCAGCGCAAAGAGUCCAGGGAGAGGGGAGAAAAACCCUGGACCCCACGACUUUUCUACCAGGACCCAGUGACCACAGAGUGGACCUACAAGCAUGUGGAAGCCCAGCCGUGGGAGCCAGAGCUUUGUCUAGUUCAGUUUGAGAGGAAUGGAGUCAUUCAAACGCUGGAGAAAACACAAAGGCAGCACAAUGGACUCUCGAACAGCGACAGCUGGCCCAGCCAACGCAAUGUUAAGGUGCAUGGGACACGCAGGAAAGCCAGCAGUCAGCCAUCCAGCUGCAGCCAGAACACUGAGAGCAGCAGCAGCACUCCGGAACCGACACGCGAGUCCUCUGAUAACGAAGCAAAAACUUGACCUCUCCGCGGCUCGCUCCUAUGUGGACUUCCCACUCAGCCCAGAUUCCUGCCGACCUCCCUGCUCGGGUGCGAGAGGCAGAAGGUUGUGGAGGUUGCGCAGCAAGCUUUGAAGGAGGCUCCAGUGACUCAUGACCCAACAAUCCACCCAGCCUCCAUGUGCCCUUCAUCUCCCCCCUUGAAAACGUCUCUCUACUCACCUCGGCCAAAACCCCUGGCCCCGAGGCCCGGAUAGCCGACGCUCGCCGGUCGUUGGCUGAAGAAAGCAGAUUGUGUUUCAGAUUCUUUCUGUGAAAGGCUCCUCUGUCUUCAUGUGUGUUGUUUUGUGUUGUAGGACAUCUGACCAGUGGCCUCUCUGCUUUAGGGGUAGAAAGCAGUACCCUGCCACGGCCAGCAGAUGGGGCACAGCCAGAAUUUUUUUCCACGGGGUGGCGGUGGAAUACUGAGGACACCGGCUGGGUGGCAGACUUUCUGUCUGGAGCGGCUGCGGCCACCGCUGGCCACCACGUAGCUCCACCCCUGCCCUCCACCUUGUCUCAGGCCCUAAAGGCAUCUGAAGAAAAACUGCCCCUAAGCGUGAUGCUGCCACCACCACGCUUGAGUGCAGGUAUGGCGUUCUUUUGGGGAUUAGUGGCGCUGUGUUCGUGCCAACAAGUUCGACCUUGGUUUCACUGUACCAUAAUAAAAUCUCCCAAACACAUGUAGGAAAUAGGCGAGGUGGUGGUUUCCAAUUGACUUGUGCAGAUUAUAGGUCACCAAAAAACCUGGCAUUUGAACAGAGGUGCGUAGACUUUUUAUAUCCUCUGUAAUAACACUGCAGUCUUGCUACUUUGGAUGUGAGUCUUGAAAACUCAAGGAAAAACCAAAUGCGUACAUAUAUUCAAUCCUGAUGAGUUGGAACUUUACACGUAUGUUUUUCAUCACAUCAGGGGCAUUCACCUUUCGAAGUUCCAUCACCCCCCCCCCCCCCCCCCCCCCAAAAAAAAGUACUUCAUUCUCUGUUGCACAUGAUUAAAAUGUGAUAAACGGACAUUAUUUUCCUGUUAGCUUAACACAUUUUAUUCAUGUGCAACCAAUGUACAUGUUCGAAUUAAAUACAUUUAAAAAAACUUUUUUCCCCCUCCCCAGUGUUGUUAGUAGUGACACUAACACACCAUGCGAGGCAGGUCCACCAAUAUUAUAGAAUAUAGAUCAUUAAAGCAGGUUAUGCGGGGAUGCUACGCUUUUGAUGAAAAGCCAUCUUACUGAAGUUAUUUAAAGGUAAACAUAAAGCACAUACUGGCUUGGCCGCAAUACAUUUAGUCACGUUCUUUUGAAUUUCUACACAUUGAUGCUGCUAAAUCAGUGCUAGGCCGUGUGUUUACAUCCGUCGUAAUAUCCGGUGAAAGCCUCCCGAGCUAUACAUAGCUGCUUUAACAAUAGGGAGCAGUGCGGAUGAGCUUGCUGUGACGGCCUGCUGACAUGCACAGCACAGCCCGCAGGUAACAGCUGCACUGUGACAGACACACGCGCGCACACGCACACUCUUAGAAACCAGUUGUAAAGUCGUAAUUGUGCCUUUGCUCUUUAGUGACAUGCCCUCGUGAUGAGGCUGUGGGAGCUAUUUGGAGCAUUGUUCUGAUAAGCCCAGUGUGUGUGUGUGUGUGUGCGUGUGGCAUUCAGCAGCGUGGGAAAAAGAACAAAUGGCUGAUGAGUGUCAAACAUAGUGUUGCCAGAGGAAAAUUACUAAAAAAAAAACAAAUUCUGUCAUGCAUUCUGCACCAGUCGGUUACGUGAGCAGUGAAGUUCCACAUUCUGUUUUGCACAUCAUAUUGGUCAUGCAUUUUUGUAAACGUAAGAUCCGGCUGAAAAAAUGUAAAUGAUAGCUGUCGCAUACAUGCGGUGGAGUAAAAUGUGCAGAAUUUCCUUCUGACACAGCGCAGUAUUGUACUUUAAUCUCUCUGCAUGUGAUCCUACUUAGGUCGACUGUUGCGGACAACAUGUGCAGCGCCAGAAUGCCAUUAGACGCUGGAAAUGAAGACCGUGAAGAGUUCCCGGUGAGAGCUACUGUGAUGAGAUCUACUACCUCAGUCUUGUUCCAGUGACUUUGUGAAAGAAUGGCAGCUAUGCAGGUCUGCUGUCUCCCCGCCUGCCAUACAAUGAAGUGUCUGCAAAGCUUCAUAGGAGAUCAUGUGAUCAACGUGGACUAUUUUCAUAUUACUGAAGAUUUUUCUUUCUGGGAAAGGAUCCACUUCAGCAACUUUUCGAAGGAAAAUACCUGGAAUAUGAUUUCAUGGCCAAGUCAAUGACCUGACCUUAACCCAAUUGAGCAUGAUUUUCACUUACAGAAGACCAAAGGGAAGGCAGCAACCCUCACAAAGUAGCAACAGCAAGUGAAGAAAAAACUCUGAACUUCAAAUCCUUUGUCUGCAAAGGAUUUUCAUCCGAGUCGUGAAAAUUAUUGUUACAAUUAAAAAAAAAAAAAAAAUCCAAAUUUAAGAAGGGGGGGGCGGAGGGUGUGUUCCAACUACGGGGGGAAUAUUUCACUUUGUCCAAAUACUAUUGAGCCCCAUUAAAUGGAGGCUGUAAAUGGUUGUAAUUCUCAAAUGCAAAUGUAUUUUGGUAUUCCGUUGCAUAUUCCAUACUUCUGAAUUUAACUGUACAUUGGGGAUUGCCAUAUUCUUCGCAUAGGUAGGACAAAUGCAUUUAUAUUGACUGGCCGCAUGUUGGCUUUUCACAAACUCAGACUGAGAGGAUUAUCAUCAGCACGUCUGGUCCGCUGAGGUCUCUUUUUUUCAUGCCAGAUGCGGUACACACUUAUCCACAUCCAAUACUACCUGCGAUUGUCGUGUCUGUGUAGACGUUUGAUCCGCGUGUCGGCGUCAGCAGCAACGCGAUCACAACUGAGAGGCGAUGAGCUCUUCGUCGCGCUCGUUGACUUGUGGAGAGCAACGCGAGGUCAUCUGCAUAAGCGAGCCUCCAUCUCUGGAACCCGAUUUGGCUCGCAUCACUUCCGAGGCCACACAAGCCUUCUUGUUCGCAUACUCUGUGUUCACAGACACGCAGUAUAGAAGUGCUGCCAAAUGCACCUUAGAGCCAAGAGCACAACAGAGGCUGCAACUGCAGCUGGUAGAGAUGAAGAGAGUGCCCUUGUGUCCACUUGUGUUGGACGACGACGACGAGAAGAUGGCUUUUAUUAUCUAUUCUGUAAUACACAAAUAAAGUUAGGCGGUAAUGUUCUUGACAUACAGUCAUUUUAUAAAUAUGGAAAUUCAGACAAAUUGUUCUGGAAGUGAAUUUCUAUAGGUUGGCAGCUCUGCAGUCACAGCAAUAAAUACGAUUUUACAAAAGAUUGGCAUAGUUUUAUCAUUAAUAAUUGGCAGGUUUUAAUUUUUGUAUUUGAAUUAAUGUAAAUGCUUUGUGUUGCAUUUUUUUUGUAUUAAAAGCUCUUACAAAUAAA